rnacentral:rRNA from 1 species
AUGAAGGAUAGUUGCACUUUCACAUGGACCACCUCGACAUGGACAACGACUUUGUUGGCGGCCGCUUCGGCCGCGAUGGGGAGUUCUAUUACCAGAGCCGUCGCGAGCGGGCGCCCCAGACCCACAACGAGGCGUUCUACGUCGCCUUCGGCAAGGGGGACUCCGACUACGACUCCGAGGAGAACAAGGCACCACGCCGGCGCCGGCACCGCAAGCGCCGCAUGGACGACUCCGAGCCCGACCUCACCAAGACCAUGCAGUUCGUCUCCAAGGGCAUCAGUGUCCCAAAGCCAGAGGAAGAGGAGGAGCAGCAAAGGCUUGGGCUUGGCUAGGCCGCGUCCUCCUCGGGCACUACUGUUGCCGCCUCCUCGGAGGAGGAUGCAGAGGAGGACCAGGAUCCAUACAUCGACCUGGCAACGGGUUUUGGGCAGCGGAUCACCGAGGGUGCACGCGCGAGGCAGGAGGAGAAGGAGCGGCAGCAGGAGUCUGCCAAUCGCUGGUGCAGUGCAUGGGUAG